rnacentral:rRNA from 1 species
UAAGCGGAGGAAAAGAAACCAACAGGGAUUGCCUCAGUAACGGCGAGUGAAGCGGCAACAGCUCAAAUUUGAAAUCUGGCUCUUUCAGAGUCCGAGUUGUAAUUUGUAGAGGAUGCUUCGGAAUGGUCCCAGUCUAAGUUCCUUGGAACAGGACGUCGCAGAGGGUGAGAAUCCCGUAUGUGACUGGGUAACCGGCCCAUGUGAAGCUCCUUCGACGAGUCGAGUUGUUUGGGAAUGCAGCUCUAAAUGGGUGGUAAAUUUCAUCUAAAGCUAAAUAUUGGCCAGAGACCGAUAGCGCACAAGUAGAGUGAUCGAAAGAUGAAAAGCACUUUGGAAAGAGAGUUAAAAAGUACGUGAAAUUGUUGAAAGGGAAGCGUUUGCAACCAGACUUGCCUGCAGUUGAUCAACCGGUGUUCUCACCGGUGCACUCUUCUGCAGACAGGCCAGCAUCAGUUUGGGUGGUUGGAUAAAGGCCGGAGGAAUGUAGCUCCUCUCGGGGAGAACUUAUAGCCUCCGGCGUCAUGCAGCCUGCCCGGACUGAGGACCGCGCUUUUAGCUAGGAUGCUGGCGUAAUGGUUGUAAACGACCCGUCUUGA